AGAAAAGCAGGGGAUCGCAAGACCUUGUGCUUUUGGAGCGGCCGAUGCCUGAUUAGCUAGUUGGUGAGGUAAAGGCUCACCAAGGCGUCGAUCAGUAGCUGGUCUGAGAGGACGACCAGCCACACUGGGACUGAGACACGGCCCAGACUCCUACGGGAGGCAGCAGUGGGGAAUUUUGGACAAUGGGGGAAACCCUGAUCCAGCCAUGCCGCGUGAGUGAAGAAGGCCUUCGGGUUGUAAAGCUCUUUCAGCCGGAACGAAACGGUCACGGCCGAUAACCGUGACAACUGACGGUACCGGAAGAAGAAGCACCGGCUAACUACGUGCCAGCAGCCGCGGUAAUACGUAGGGUGCAAGCGUUAAUCGGAAUUACUGGGCGUAAAGCGAGC
rnacentral:rRNA from 1 species